GCUUGCUGGCAUUUGAGCCCAGGCCUCCUGGCCUUGGAAGUGCAUCUGGAGCAAGCUCUAGCCUUUGGAGUUCAGAGUUUUUUCCAACCACCCCUGUCCAAGCCAGAGGGAGCUGCUAGUCAAUCUGAAUUUGCUCUGCGACCCCAGAGAACAGCAUUUCCCCUGAUCCCAGAAUGUUCUGGAAUGUUCCAAGAGUCCUCAUUUAACAUCAGAAUCCACCUGCAGCCUCAAAGUGGUGGAGCCUGGAUGGAAACUGAACCCUCCUUGGACCCCAAAGUUCUUGACUGCAAGAGAUUUGGGGAACAGACACUAACAGCUGGGUGCUGUGUGACCUUGGAGUAGCCGCAGUCGCGUCUCGCCAGCUGAGAAGUGUGUCAUCCAUGGGGCGAUUUCGUCACUGUGCGAACAUCCCAGGGGGAGGACCCGGCCUCUCGCGGCCGGGCUCCAGGGCGCAGUCCUUCGGGGCCUCUGUCAUCUACGUCGUCUACGGCUGGACCCUCAGCGAGGAGGACACGCCUGCUCCCCUUUCACCAGACCCCGGGGCUGAUGAGCACGCGUCACCUCCUGUCUUCCCUGUCUGCCCCCCGGGAAGUCGGCCCCAUGAAGGGCCUUGGCGGGCUGGUUUGCUGUGCGCCCCACGGGCGGGCGAACUGAUGCGUGAGUGAUGCGUGAACAAAUGAAUGGGCAGCACC